rnacentral:misc_RNA from 1 species
UGAACAUAAGCUCAAUAUCUUCCUAAUGAGUCUUGAACUAUUCCAUGCAAUUUCAAGCAAAGUGUUAGCACAGAUUUGUUAUAACCAAGAAAUUUCCUCCAAUCUUAUCGUAGUCCCGUCGACAUGUGGGACUCACUCGAUUUGGUAAACAUGAUUGACGUCCCAAAGGGUUCAUGUAUGGAGAAUUAUAAAAAUUAAUAAAUAGGUGAUAAAGGUAAAGUCCAAUCGCUCAAAGCUGCUUUUUCAUAUUUGGUAUUGGACCUUGACCUUUGGCACGCCCUGUCUGCAUUGAUUCAGCUCAGCUCCUUUAGAGGCCAUUCCAUUGGUUCUACACCACCAAUUAAACUCUGCCUCAUCAAGGCAUCAAGGACAUAGUAAAUCAUGAGGGGGUGUCUCAGUCGUUUUGAAAUGAAAAAGCACGCCUCAUUCACACCAUCUUUCAGGUCUUACCCUCGUACCUUCAUAGGGCACCAAAAAUUGUUGGUCAAGGGGUCAGUGCACUCAAAUGGGGUGGGGAAUCACCAUGGACACCACGCACACAACCCCCACCACAACCACCCCCCACCCCCCAAAAA